UACAGAGGUCUCAAGCGUUGUUCGGAUUCAUUGGGCGUAAAGGGUGUGUAGGUGGCGCGCUAAGUCGGGUGUGAAAUUUCGGAGCUUAACUCCGAAACUGCAUUCGAUACUGGCGUGCUUGAGGACUGCAGAGGAGACUGGAAUUCCUGGUGUAGCAGUGAAAUGCGUAGAUAUCAGGAGGAACACCGAUGGCGAAGGCAGGUCUCUGGGCUGACACUGACGCUCAUGCACGAAAGCGUGGGGAGCAAACAGG
rnacentral:rRNA from 1 species